CUGCCAUAAAGGCUGUCUGACCACACAGGGAUGCUGAGGCUCUUUGAAGAAGGCCACGUCUUUCCCCUAGGUCUGGCUGGUACAAGCAAACCAAAGAGAAGCUAUCAUUGGCCAAAAUGAGCCCCCUUGGGUGGGAGCGGACAUUCUAUGGCUCCCUUGAGAGGCACUGACCAACCAGGGGGCAGAGGAUGAGGCCCUAUCACAGAGAAAAUGAAGAGUCAGAGGAGACCACAGUUCUACUUUCUGGGGACUAAGAGCAAGGUCAGCUUUGAGCCCAGCGAUGGACUCUUCCAGCUUAGGCACUAUAAGCAAUGCUGCUCUGACCACCAUCAUAGGAAUCUCUGUGUGAAAAAUGCUCACUUUCCUCCUGGAUAAAGAACCCAAGGAGUGGCUGGGACAUAUGGUUUUGAAGUCAGGUCAUCAGGCUUGUGUGGCAAGUGAGUCCCCUUGCUGAGCCAUCCUCUCAGCCCUGUUCUGAACUUUUGGAGAAGCCAAGCUGUCCGAAGCAGUUUGCACCAGUUUACAGUCUUUGGCAUCCUCUGUGACUCCUGCCUCCCCUUGUCCCAGUGUCUGCUCUGCUCUGAAGUGGUAGCUUGUUGUGGUUUUGUUUGUAUUAAUGACUAAUGACUAAGUAAUGAAUCUCCUCAUGCCUAUCAAGAACACCUUAC